UCGAUUGCAAUAAUUUGAUAUAAAUUUAAUAUUAAAAUGAACUUAACAAACUUUCUGUGCACUAAAACUCCUUUUUUUUAAUUCAAAAACGCAAACAAAAAUUAAAAAUUGACGUAUUCUUUUCCACAUCACCCAAUGGGGUAGAAUACUAGAUGCGUUUUUUUUAUAGAGGUUUCCCCAGUAGGCCUAAUCCUCUUUUUAUUUGUUAGUUAUAAAUUACAAAAUAUAUACAUACAUAAUAUACAAAAAAAUAAAUAAUGUUUAAUAAAUAAUAAAAUAUUCUUAUAAAACUAAAUAUAAUUAUAUAGUAAAAUAUGACAUAACACACCGAAUUAAAGAAGAUUUAUAUCACUUGUCACUUAACACUUAUCACUAAAAACUUGUCACUUAGCACUUAUCACUGAACAAAGUUUGACCACAAAUUGAAGUAUAUACUCACUUACAUAAAUAAUCUUUUUUUCGAAUUCCACGAUAUAUUAAAAAAAAAAAAUGGGUGAGAAAAAAAUGUAAACGAUUUCAUACCUAAUUUAGAAAUUUCAAUUCAAUUUUCCAUUCCAUUUGGGAAGCAAAUGACAUAAUAUUUUUAUUCAACUCCAAAAUAUUCAAAUUUCUUUGUAGAUUGAAAUCGUUUUAAAUAUUUUCCUCAGCUAUUUAUGUAGAAAAGAUUCUUCCCUUAACCUGAAAACAUCAAUAUAAAAUAGAAAAGAAAAUUAUCCACCAAAAUAAAGGAAAAGACAAAAAGGUUAAGUAAAUAAAACUGCAAAAGAAGUAAUUAUUUAUUUAAAGAAAAAACAUCGAACCUGAAAAUAAACAAAAGAACAAUUAAAUAAAAUAUAGUAGGUAAAUAAAUUAAUAAACAGAUAAUCCUAUAAAAAAGCAAAUUGAAAAGAAAAUUGUCAUUAAGGAUUUUCUAUCGAAUCUCCUCCUAAGCCAUCGCUCUAGUUUCCAAUAUUUGUUCCUCACCCACUGGAGAAACAAAUUAAAUUUCUGAAAAUAAAAAAAAAAAAACAUAGCAAUCAAAUAUCAAAAAAUAAAAAAUAUUAUUGAAAAAAUUAUAUGUCAAGAUAUUUUCUUACCGAAAAAUGGACUCUACGGUGGAUUCUGACCACCCUAGUCCUGGAAACUAGAACACUUUGGCUAGGAAAAUAUACCACGCCUAUAUUGGGCUGAAGAAAGGAAGAAAAUAAUGAAGAAGUAAGAACAAAAUUUCAAAAUAUAAGAAAUUAUUUAUAUGUCAGCUUACCAGCACAUGUGGUCCAUCCCCAAUCAAUUCGAUGAGUUGGACUGGUUCUUGGACAUUGCUUACGAAAUUAUUUGUCCUCCUAAACCAAUGGCGUGGAUUUGACCACUGCAUGCCGGCAAACUAAUUAAAAAUUUUAAAAUAUUAUAAUUUAUGGUUUUAACAAUCAAUUAAAUUAAAACUUACAUUUCUAAAAAAAGCUCUAUCGGUAA